AGUAUCCAUCGUGAUAUUUUAAACAGUCCAUAAAGCACUCAGGACGGCCCUGAAAGAGAGGGGCCGUAGUAGGGUGCUUCCAUAUCGGGCAUUAAUAUGAGAAUGACCCUUAAAUGCAUUUAGGACCAUAUUUUAAUUUUUGGGUUCCCAGGUGCACGUUUUCAAUCACCAGGUGCACGGAUGUAUAGGGUCCCCCAUGGAUAAAAGGUCCGUAUUAGGGUGCUCCCAUAGCGGGCAUGACUUUUUGGAACACCGCUCAUGUAAUUUUAGGUUCCCAGGUGCACGUUUUCAAUCACCAGUUGCACAACAAUCAGUAUCCAUCAGAACAUGUUAAAGUGUCCAUAAAUCCCUCAGGACGGCCCCUAUGGAAAGAGGGCCGUAGUAGGGUACUCCUAUAACAGGGCAUUAAUAUCAGAAUGACCCUUAAAUGCAUUUAGGACCAUAUUUUAAUUUUUGGGUUCCCAGGUGCACGUUUUCAAUCACCAGUUGCACAACAAUCAGUAUCCAUCGUGAUAUUUUAAACAGUCCAUAAAGCACUCAGGACGGCCCUGACAGAGAGAGGGCCGUAGUAGGGUGCUUCCAUAUCGGGCAUUAAUAUGAGAAUGACCCUUAAAUGCAUUUAGGACCAUAUUUUAAUUUUUGGGUUCCCAGGUGCACGUUUUCAAUCACCAGUUGCACAACAAUCAGUAUCCAUCGUGAUAUUUUAAACAGUCCAUAAAGCACUCAGGACGGCCCUGACAGAGAGAGGGCCGUAGUAGGGUGCUUCCAUAUCGGGCAUUAAUAUGAGAAUGACCCUUAAAUGCAUUUAGGACCAUAUUUUAAUUUUUGGGUUCCCAGGUGCACGUUUUCAAUCACCAGUUGCACAACAAUGAGUAUCCAUCAGAACAUGUUAAAGUGUCCAUAAAUCCCUCAGGACGGCCCCUAUGGAAAGAGGGCCGUAGUAGGGUACUCCUAUAACAGGGCAUUAAUAUCAGAAUGACCGGUAAAUGCAUUUUGGAGCUUAUUUUAAUUUUUGGGUUCCCAGGUGCACAUUUCAAAUCACCAGUUGCACAACAAUGAGUAUCCAUCAGAACAUGUUAAAGUUCCAUAAAUCCCUCAGGACGGCCCCUAUGGAAAGGGGCCGUAGUAGGGUACUCCUAUAACAGGGCAUUAAUAUCAGAAUGACCGGUAAAUGCAUUUUGGAGCUUAUUUUAAUUUUUGGGUUCCCAGGUGCACAUUUCAGAUCACCAGUUGCACAACAAUGAGUAUCCAUCAGAACAUGUUAAAGUGUCCAU
ensembl:lncRNA